CUGUGCGACUGCGGAUGACAUUACCAAAAGAUAAUCUUUCAACUCGAAAGAUCUUUUCCUUUGUGCUGGCUUUGCACCGUAUGUAAUUUUGGGACUUAGACAUGGCAGCCUUACUGUUUCGCGGUCCCAAAAACCAUAUAUCAACCCUAUGAAAAACUUAAUGAACCACUUAACCAUGAUUUUUAUAAUCUGGUUAAAACCACUUUCAACCACCGAACCUUUGGUUCUCGCAUCGAUUAAGAACGCAACGGAAUGCGAUACGUAAUGGGGAUUGGAGAAGUCAGUGGAUCAACCAAUCCUUGAACGGCAUUGGAAUCCCUGGUAAUCCGAGGAAUAAGGCUGGUUCAGUAUCAAGAACACUCUCACUCCCUAACCUUGUGGUUAUGAAGUGGAAAUGGGAAGCGCCCAAUUUUACCAAUCCGCACUCCCAAAAAGGAGCUUUUGGCUGGUUCCCACCACCGGCAUUUGGCCUAAUAGUUUUGAACUUUGGCCAUCUUUGGCUACCUUUGCCUCCUGAAAUCCAGUCUUGAUAUACCGAAACUCAAUUCCAACUUUGGACUGAAAUCCAGGUAGGGCU
rnacentral:rRNA from 1 species